AGUGAACGCUGGCGGUAGGCCUAACACAUGCAAGUCGAACGGCAGCACAGUAAGAGCUUGCUCUUACGGGUGGCGAGUGGCGGACGGGUGAGGAAUACAUCGGAAUCUACUUUUUCGUGGGGGAUAACGUAGGGAAACUUACGCUAAUACCGUAUACGACCUACGGGUGAAAGCAGGGGAUCUUCGGACCUUGCGCGAUUGAAUGAGCCGAUGUCGGAUUAGCUAGUUGGCGGGGUAAAGGCCCACCAAGGCGACGAUCCGUAGCUGGUCUGAGAGGAUGAUCACCCAAAAGGGAACUGAGAAACGGCCCAGCCCCCUACGGGAGGCAGCAGGGGGGAAUUUUGGAAAAGGGGCGAAAGCCUGCCCCAGCCAAACCGGGGGGGUGAAGAAGGCCUUCGGGUUGUAAAGCCCUUUUGUUGGGAAAGAAAAGCAGCAGGUUAAUCCCCCGCUGUUCUGACGGUACCAAAAGAAUAAGCACCGGCUAACUUCGU
rnacentral:rRNA from 1 species